rnacentral:rRNA from 1 species
UUCGGGCCUUGCGCUAUCAGAUGAGCCUAGGUCGGAUUAGCUAGUUGGUGAGGUAAUGGCUCACCAAGGCGACGAUCCGUAACUGGUCUGAGAGGAUGAUCAGUCACACUGGAACUGAGACACGGUCCAGACUCCUACGGGAGGCAGCAGUGGGGAAUAUUGGACAAUGGGCGAAAGCCUGAUCCAGCCAUGCCGCGUGUGUGAAGAAGGUCUUCGGAUUGUAAAGCACUUUAAGUUGGGAGGAAGGGUUGUAGAUUAAUACUCUGCAAUUUUGACGUUACCGACAGAAUAAGCACCGGCUAACUCUGUGCCAGCAGCCGCGGUAAUACAGAGGGUGCAAGCGUUAAUCGGAAUUACUGGGCGUAAAGCGCGCGUAGGUGGUUUGUUAAGUUGGAUGUGAAAUCCCCGGGCUCAACCUGGGAACUGCAUCCAAAACUGGCAAGCUAGAGUAUGGUAGAGGGUGGUGGAAUUUCCUGUGUAGCGGUGAAAUGCGUAGAUAUAGGAAGGAACACCAGUGGCGAAGGCGACCACCUGGACUGAUACUGACACUGAGGUGCGAAAGCGU